rnacentral:tRNA from 1 species
UUGUGGCGUAGCAUCAACUGGGAAUGCAGCAGACUAAUAAUCUGUGUGCUGCGGGUUCGAAUCCCGUCGCCGCAACCCA